UUGGACAAUGGUAGGAGAGCGUUCUAAGGGCGUUGAAGCAUGAUCGUAAGGACAUGUGGAGCGCUUAGAAGUGAGAAUGCCGGUGUGAGUAGCGAAAGACGGGUGAGAAUCCCGUCCACCGAUUGACUAAGGUUUCCAGAGGAAGGCUCGUCCGCUCUGGGUUAGUCGGGUCCUAAGCUGAGGCCGACAGGCGUAGGCGAUGGAUAACAGGUUGAUAUUCCUGUACCACCUAUAAUCGUUUUAAUCGAUGGGGGGACGCAGUAGGAUAGGCGAAGCGUGCGAUUGGAUUGCACGUCUAAGCAGUAAGGCUGAGUAUUAGGCAAAUCCGGUACUCGUUAAGGCUGAGCUGUGAUGGGGAGAAGACAUUGUGUCUUCGAGUCGUUGAUUUCACACUGCCGAGAAAAGCCUCUAGAUAGAAAAUAGGUGCCCGUACCGCAAACCGACACAGGUAGUCAAGAUGAGAAUUCUAAGGUGAGCGAGCGAACUCUCGUUAAGGAACUCGGCAAAAUGACCCCGUAACUUCGGGAGAAGGGGUGCUCUUUAGGGUUAACGCCCAGAAGAGCCGCAGUGAAUAGGCCCAAGCGACUGUUUAUCAAAAACACAGGUCUCUGCUAAACCGUAAGGUGAUGUAUAGGGGCUGACGCCUGCCCGGUGCUGGAAGGUUAAGAGGAGUGGUUAGCUUCUGCGAAGCUACGAAUCGAAGCCCCAGUAAACGGCGGCCGUAACUAUAACGGUCCUAAGGUAGCGAAAUUCCUUGUCGGGUAAGUUCCGACCCGCACGAAAGGCGUAACGAUUUGGGCACUGUCUCAACGAGAGACUCGGUGAAAUCAUAGUACCUGUGAAGAUGCAGGUUACCCGCGACAGGACGGAAAGACCCCGUGGAGCUUUACUGUAGCCUGAUAUUGAAAUUCGGCACAGCUUGUACAGGAUAGGUAGGAGCCUUUGAAACGUGAGCGCUAGCUUACGUGGAGGCGCUGGUGGGAUACUACCCUAGCUGUGUUGGCUUUCUAACCCGCACCACUUAUCGUGGUGGGAGACAGUGUCAGGCGGGCAGUUUGACUGGGGCGGUCGCCUCCUAAAAGGUAACGGAGGCGCUCAAAGGUUCCCUCAGAAUGGUUGGAAAUCAUUCAUAGAGUGUAAAGGCAUAAGGGAGCUUGACUGCGAGACCUACAAGUCGAGCAGGGUCGAAAGACGGACUUAGUGAUCCGGUGGUUCCGCAUGGAAGGGCCAUCGCUCAACGGAUAAAAGCUACCCCGGGGAUAACAGGCUUAUCUCCCCCAAGAGUUCACAUCGACGGGGAGGUUUGGCACCUCGAUGUCGGCUCAUCGCAUCCUGGGGCUGUAGUCGGUCCCAAGGGUUGGGCUGUUCGCCCAUUAAAGCGGUACGCGAGCUGGGUUCAGAACGUCGUGAGACAGUUCGGUCCCUAUCCGUCGUGGGCGUAGGAAAUUUGAGAGGAGCUGUCCUUAGUACGAGAGGACCGGGAUGGACAUACCUCUGGUGUACCAGUUGUCGUGCCAACGGCAUAGCUGGGUAGCUAUGUGUGGACGGGAUAAGUGCUGAAAGCAUCUAAGCAUGAAGCCCCCCUCAAGAUGAGAUUUCCCAACUUCGGUUAUAAGAUCCCUCAAAGAUGAUGAGGUUAAUAGGUUCGAGGUGGAAGCAUGGUGACAUGUGGAGCUGACGAAUACUAAUCGAUCGAAGACUUAAUCAA
rnacentral:rRNA from 1 species